CAGUGUGAUGUCAGAAACAUGAGAGCAUAGUUGGAUGUUGGCAUGAGUAAAUGCCAUCCAGUACUUGGCUAGGGGAGCCAAAUCUGUCCUAAGGAUGUUAGCUGGUGCUCCAUUAGGGUUUCUCUGAAAAUGCCUCCCAGGGAUGCACAUCACUCUCUCAAUAUCUUCAUAAUCCCUGGCCUCCCCUAGUAUAGCAGCAUUCCUGCACUGUUCUCCUGGCCACUCAGUCCCUAAGAAGGCGUUAAUGGUGUCGGGGUGAUAGCUAAUCAAAUGUCCCCUCACAUAACUCAUGUAUCUACCAGCUGAUAUUCCUCCCCUGGGCAAGGCAUUGCCAUAAAACUCCUUCACCACUCAAUACAGGCUGGUGCUGGAUAUGUAGUCAAUCUCUCACAGCCUCGCCUCUCAAUCUCCAGACCAAAUUCUGGAGCUAAGUCAAGGAUGUAUAUGGCCUUCCUCUCCAUCGGCAAACGCCUUUCCUGGACAAUAGCAUAAUGUUCUUCAUGCUUCCUUGAGAGGAACCUAGAAGAAUAGAAUCUCCUAGGUCUCUCUAGCUCCUUCCUUUUGUUGCCCAUAGUUUUAACUCUUCUUGAGGUAGACAUUCCUGC
rnacentral:lncRNA from 1 species